rnacentral:rRNA from 1 species
CCGAAUGAACUAGCCCUGAAAAUGGAUGGCGCUUAAGCGGGUGACCGACACCAUGCCGUCUGGACGAAUUAUUGAUUUCAGAUGAGUAGGAGGGCGUGGCGGUGGUGUCGAAGGGCGCAUGCAGAUGCGCCUGGAACGGCCGCUAGUGCAGAUCUUGGUGGUAGUAGCAAAUAUUCAAGCGAGAUCCUUGAAGGGCGAAGCGGGGAAGGGUUCCACGCGAACAUUGAUUGGGCGUGGGUGAGUCGUUCCUAAGCCGAGUGGCGAUUGCUAAGUAGCGGCGAAAGGGAAGCAGGUUGAAAUUCCUGCACACGGAUGUGGAGGCGGUGACGCCGUAAUUGGGGUGAACACGCUGGCGAUGGCGCUGGGCAGAGUUGUCUUUUCUGUUUGACCGCUCAGAGGUGCGGUGUGGAAUCCGCUUGUCGGGAGAAACACGCGCUUUCGGGCAGAGCGCCGGGGUUAUUCCGGCGUCCAGCUCGCCAUCGACGGCCCUUGAAACUUUGCCUACUGGAAUGUUUUCGUAAGGAGACAUGAAUAUCCACGCCGUGGCGUACCGAUCACCGCAUCAGGUCCCCAAGGUGAACAGCCUCUGCUCAGUAUGAAAAAUGCAGGUAAGGGAAGUCGGCAAAUUGGACCCGUAACUUUGGGAAAAGGGUUGGCUCUAGUGCUGCGUGGGAGUGGUUGCCGAUUGUUUGACGUGUUUGGACGAGUGGAAUUGUUGUGUAUUUCUUUUUGUGGUUUGCUUUCGGGUGGAUUGCUCUAGAGAGUAUGCGGCAGCCGCUUGACUGGAUGCGACGCGGUCGGCGACGCCCACAGCAUGCAGCAAACUAGAACUGCAACGGGCAAAGGGAAUCCGACUGUUUAAUUAAAAC